rnacentral:rRNA from 1 species
UGACUAAGCCAUGCAAGUCGAGAGGGUUCGGCCCUCCGGCGUACUGCUCAGUAACACGUGGAUAACCUGCCCUAGGGAAGGGGAUAAUCCCGGGAAACUGGGGAUAAUACCCUAUAGGUUACAGAUGCUGGAAUGCUCUGUAAUCAAAAGUUCCGGCGCCCUAGGAUGGAUCUGCGGCCGAUUAGGUUGUUGUUGGGGUAAUGGCCCAACAAGCCAGUAAUCGGUACGGGUUGUGGGAGCAAGAGCCCGGAGUUGGAUUCUGAGACACGAAUCCAGGCCCUACGGGGCGCAGCAGGCGCGAAAACUUUACAAUGCGGGCAACCGUGAUAAGGGAACCUCGAGUGCCUGUAAAUGCAGGCUGUUCAGAUGCCUAAAACACAUCUGGAGAAAGGGCCGGGCAAGACCGGUGCCAGCCGCCGCGGUAAUACCGGCGGCUCGAGUGGUGGCCACUUUUAUUGGGCUUAAAGCGUUCGUAGCUGGGUUGUUAAGUCUCUUGGGAAAUCUGGCGGCUUAACCGUCAGGCGUCUAAGGGAUACUGGCAAUCUUGGAACCGGGAGAGGUGAGGGGUACUUCGGGGGUAGGAGUGAAAUCCUGUAAUCCUCGAGGGACCACCUGUGGCGAAGGCGCCUCACCAGAACGGCUUCGACAGUGAGGGACGAAAGCUGGGGGAGCAAACCGGAUUAGAUACCCGGGUAGUCCCAGCCGUAAACUAUGCGCGUUAGGUGUAUCGGUGACCACGAGUUACCGAGGUGCCGAAGGGAAACCGUGAAACGUGCCGCCUGGGAAGUACGGUCGCAAGGCUGAAACUUAAAGGAAUUGGCGGGGGAGCA